UAUGUAUGCGUGUAUAUAUCUACAUGCUCGCCUAUAUCAGUAUGUGUAUGCAUGUGAAGUUUUGCAACGUGCAGUUGCCUCGCAAACAAGCAGCUAGCGCACGUCAAUUUUGUUUUGCCGCGACGAAAGUCUCGAAGAAGAGGACAACAACAAUUGCUCGCGUUCUAUAUGUUUGCAGUUAAAUGACACUUGCACAAGGACCGCGUUGGCUCUGCUGGUGGUGUGCAAGCCUAACAUGUUGCGGGUCUGGGUUCAACUUCCGAUCGAGAAUAUAUAUGAAUCUUCUUGUAGAAAGCUUCUUGCAAUGAGUCUGGUGUACGCGCCCUCUUAGCGCAACGCGUAAUUUCCCUAACGCCUACUUUUCUCAACAUGUGCAAUUUUGUGUAUCAUGCGUCAUUUGUUUUGUGAGUGCUGUACAAGAAAGUUGAUUUUUUCCUGCGCGUCUUUUAUAAAACAAUCAGAGUUUUGAGGACCACGAAAGAGCUGUUGGAUG